rnacentral:lncRNA from 1 species
UGUCACCUCCUGUCCCUGUCCCUGUCCCUGUCCCUGUCCCUGUCCCCUCCCUGUCCCCUCCUGUCCCCAAUAAAAGUGGAGCAGCAGCGCCCCCCGCUCGUGCCUUGGGGACACCGGGGGGGGUUGGGGACACCCCGGGGACACCCCCGGGCCGGGCGGUGACGUCAUCGCGGCGCCGUUGCCAUGGUGACUCCGGCGGGGGACACAAAACGGGGGAAAAAAAACUCCCGAAAACGCCUCAAAACGGCCCAAAAACGGCCCAAAAACGGCGCAGAAUCGGGGAAAAAAUCAGCGGAGAUGGAAGGGAACCGGCCAACCCCAAAUCGGCCAAAAACCGCCCAAAAACAGCCCAAAAAUAUCCCGAAAACAGUCAAAAAUCACCCCAAAAUAUCCCGAAAAUUGCCCAAAAAUCGCCCCAAAAUAUCCUGAAAAUUGCCCAAAAAUCGCCCAAAAAUCACCCAGAAAUCAACAAAAAUAUCCCGACAAUUGCCCAAAAAUCACUCAAAAAUCAUCCAAAAUCUGCCCCAAAACCAGCCAAAAAUCGGCCAAAACCUGCUCAAAAAUCACAAAAAAAUAUCCCGAAAAUUGCCCAAAAAUCACUCAAAAAUCAUCCAAAAAUAUCCCGAAAAUUGCCCAAAAAUCACUCAAAAACCGCCCUAAAAAUCGCCCAAAAAUAUCCCGAAAAUUGCCCAAAAAUCACCCAAAACGCGCUCAAAAAUCGGCAAAAAAUAUCCCGAAAAUUGUCAAAAAAUCACUCAAAAACCGCCCAAAAAUUGCCAAAAAAAUCCCGAAAGUUGCCCAAAAGUCACUCAAAAAUCACCCAAAAAUUACUCAAAAACCGCCCCAACCCCCGCCAAAAAUUGGCAAAAAAGUCCCGAAAAUUGCCAAAAAACCACUCAAAAAUCGUCAAAAAAUCACCCAAAAAUUGCCAAAAAAAUCCCGAAAGUUGCCCAAAAAUCACUCAAAAAUCACCCAAAAAUCGCUCAAAAAUCACCCAAAAAUCACUCAAAAACCGCCCAAAACCCCCCCAAAAAUCAGCAAAAAAGUCCCGAAAAUUGCCCCAAAUUCUCCCUGAAUCCCCCCAAAUCCCCCCGGCUCUCCCCAGCCGCGAUUUUUGGGUGUUGAACAAAUUUUUGGGUCCCUGGAGAUUUUUUUCGGGAUUAUUUUUUGUCGAUUUUGGGGGGUUUAAAUCGAUUUUUGUGCCCCCCCGCGAGGUUUUGGGUUCAAUAAAUGGAAUUUUCAGCUGUUUUGGGGGACACGAAGGGAAUUUGGGGCUCCCCCGGGUGGGGUUUUGGGGACAUUAAAGCCAUUUUUGGGGGAAAUUUCAGGGAUUUGGGGGAAAUUUAAAGCAUUUUUUAGGGAAA